UACGAAGGGGGCUAGCGUUGUUCGGAAUGACUGGGCGUAAAGGGUGUGUAGGCGGUUAAACACGUCAGAUGUGAAAUCCCCGGGCUUAACCUGGGAAUGGCAUUUGAUACGGUAGAACUAGAGAUUGGUAGAGGGUAGAGGAAUUGCGAGUGUAGAGGUGAAAUUCGUAGAGAUUCGCAGGAACACCGGUGGCGAAGGCGGCUACCUGGGCCAAUACUGACGCUGAGGCACGAAAGCGUGGGGAGCAAACAGG
rnacentral:rRNA from 1 species